rnacentral:rRNA from 1 species
UCAAUGUUACCUGUACCCGAAACCGACACAGGUAGGGAGGUUGAGAAUACCAAGGGGCGCGAGAUAACUCUCUCUAAGGAACUCGGCAAAAUGGCCCCGUAACUUCGGAAGAAGGGGUGCCCACCUAAGACGUGGGUCGCAGUGAAGAGAUCCAGGCGACUGUUUACCAAAAACACAGGUCUCCGCCAAGUCAAAUGACGACGUAUGGGGGCUGACGCCUGCCCAGUGCCGGAAGGUUAAGGAAGUCGGUCAGGACGCAAGUCUAAAGCUGGCGACUGAAGCCCCGGUGAACGGCGGCCGUAACUAUAACGGUCCUAAGGUAGCGAAAUUCCUUGUCGGGUAAGUUCCGACCCGCACGAAAGGCGUAACGAUCUGGAUGGUGUCUCAGAGAGAGACUCGGCGAAAUAGGAAUGUCUGUGAAGAUACGGACUGCCUGCACCUGGACAGAAAGACCCUAUGAAGCUUUACUGUA